rnacentral:misc_RNA from 1 species
CAAUAGCUUCAGGUUCUGUAAAAGGCCUUGCCUUCUUGCAUGGAUACAAUAAGGCAAAGCUCUUCCAUGGGAACCUCACAUCUUCGAAUAUCUUAGUUGAUCAGUUUGGCAAUGCCUGCAUUUCUGAGAUUUGCCUCCGCCAACUCUUGCACUCACCCUCUCCUUUAUCAAACAAUUCCUACAAAGCCCCUGAACUAAUGCCUAACAACAAUAACAGUGUCGGGCAUGGAAAUGGAAAGUUCACUCAGAAAUGUGAUGUUUAUAGCUUUGGGGUGAUUUUGCUAGAGAUUCUGACGGGGAAAAU